UCACUUCACAUUAAUCGCGAAGCCCCUAUAUGGGUCCGUGCCGGCUUUAGUCGGCUAUGAUGAUAAAUUGCCUCGUGCAAUAGACGCAGCGGACCCGGGGGCGGUACCCGGCGGCUCCACCACUACCCGUCCGGCUCAGGCCGGGCACCCUGAUGUCGCAGGGCCUGCUUGGCAGGGGUAAUGACGGGGCCGAACUAGGAUCGACGUGUGUUGAAAAGCGAUGUUUUCAUCCGGGCUGAGUAACCCGUUCAAGGCUCAAAACUCAUAAGUGCCAACGACAACGACGCACUUGCUCUCGCUGCGUAAUUCUAGGGCCUAACGGCCUGAAGUUACAAAGUUAGAACGCGGUUGGACCCACCGGUCAACAGAAGCGGAUUCCAGGGGUUCGGGGUGUACCUGUCAACAGAAACACCCCACU
rnacentral:tmRNA from 1 species